rnacentral:lncRNA from 1 species
UAAAAUCAUUUCGAGUUAAAAAAAAAAUUAUAUAAAUUAAUUUGCAACAUUUAAUAUUAAAAAAAAAAAAAAAGUGACUACUAGCUUAUAUACAUAUAUAUGUACAUUCACAUAUUUUUAGAGUACCAUGAUUAUAAAAAAUUAAUAAAAGUUCAUUAACUUUACAAAAAAUUGCACUUGAAUUUUAUAAAAUUUUCUAAGUACACAACUAGCUAGAAUUUGUUUAACACCUUAUCAAUUUAUACAUAUAAAUACAUAUACAUAUAUGCACGUACAUAAGCAAAUGCGUACAGGUCGUAGUAUAAAACAUAUACUUAGAUUUGUAUUAUUACAAAUAUUUAAAAAAAAAUAUAUACAAGUUAAUCGAACCAACUUAUAUUUUAAUAAUAACUAAUUAUUGUUUUUUUUUUUUUUUUUUUUUUUUUUUAAAUUUAUUUCAAUAAUAAAAUGAAUAUAUAUUUAUAUUAAGAUUUUAUUUUAUUUUACUUUUUAAUAACAUCCCCCUCCUUAGUACCAUUUAUUAACAUUAUUUAGUGUGACUGUUUGUGCUUUUUUUACAUAUUUAUUAAUAGUUAUAUNNNNNNNNNNUUUUUUGUAUAUAUAAUUAUAUACAUACACGUAUAAGAGAAAAAAAAUAAAAGAUGGAUUAUGUUCGCGAUAUACUAGAAGGCUAUUACCCUGAUGAUAGCACAGAGCUUUUGUGCAAAAAAUAUAAACUAUUCUUAUUAUUAUAUAGCAUUUUUGUAUUUUUAAUAUUUAUCUAUAGCUUUUUCAUCACUCCUAUAUCCCCUUACGGAUGGCUAUUUUUUGCGAACUUUUACUUUGUCGUAUUUCCGGCAAUUGGAUUUUUUGGUGAAUCUUAUAGACCAUCGUUGUUGAGGGUUUACAAUUGGAUGUUGUUUGUUUCGGGCGUAAUUUCAGUUUUUAUUGUUUUUGAAGGGUAUAUAUAAUAAAUCUACGCACAUAUAUAUAUAUAUAUAUAUAUACGCAGUUUAUAUGUAUAUAUUUGUGUUUACAUAUUUACUUAUAAGUGUACUAUUCUUUAUGCACUUUUAUU